rnacentral:rRNA from 1 species
GACGAACGCUGGCGGCGUGCUUAACACAUGCAAGUCGAACGAAGUGGCGGACGGGUGAGUAACGCGUGAGCAAUCUGCCUUACACAAAGGGAUAGUCUCGGGAAACCGGGAUUAAUACCAUAUGGUGUAAGAUGAGCUCGCGUCCCAUUAAUUAGUUGGAGAGGUAACGGCCCACCAAGAUAGCGAUGGGUAGCCGAUCUAAGAGGGUGACCGGCCACAUUGGAACUGAGAAACGGUCCAAACUCCUACGGGAGGCAGCAGUGGGGAAUAUUGCACAAUGGGGGAAACCCUGAUGCAGCGACGCCGCGUGAGCGAUGAAGGCUUUCGGGUUGUAAACCGCUUUCAGCCAUGACGCGGUAGUGGCAGAAGAAGCACCGGCUAACUACGUGCCAGCCGCCGCGGUAAUAC